rnacentral:lncRNA from 1 species
UCCCUCUUCUCUCUCUCUAACACCAGAAGAUAAACAACUAUAAGAUCAAUGAGUAUACCUGCUCUGUGAUUGAUCCUUUAGGGUUUAAUAUGAAAAAUGGUUAGACUUAUUCUUCUGUAUUAUUUAAUAAAUGGCAAUUAUAAAAUGACAAAUGAAGAAUAUUAAUAGAGCAGUUGAGGUUAAAAGAAGGCAUCUAUUUGUUUUUAUUAAACUGCUAAUUUGUCAUAGGAUUAGAGAUGUUGCUCAACAAUUUAAGAGCAUAAACUGCUGUAUGAUAUGUAAUUAGUAAUUACUAAAUGCCAUUUACAGUUAGUGUACUACAUUCGCAACAACUAUGCUUUUGUCUAGUGUGAAUCUAGCAAUCGUACUUCAUUUUUAUUCAAUCGGUUAACUCCGUCUAAUUUCAUCACUUAGAUUGAUGAAAAUAUAUUAAUUGGUGGUCGAUAAAUGAAGUCCCGCCAUUUAUCUCAUUCAAGUUGUACAUAUUUCACGUUAGCAACUAAAUUUACGUUUGAUGACUAUUAUUUUUUUUUUAUGAAUAAUGUUAUAUGCAGUUGCUCACUACCACUAUCGUCCUACAUGGCGGUUAUUAAUUUGAUGGGAAGUGCUACAUGUACAUAAUUAUCUACAUAAUGAUGUCCAUAAUUACACAUGGCACUGGAUCCAACCUCUAAUUCAAAUCUCACACUUACACAUCAACAACCGGAUGAUUGCCACAUCACAUUAUAAACACCAUUAUGUGCAAUAAUUAUGUACAAGUAGAAUUUUCCUAAUUUGAUACAUGAUGCAAUAAAAAACUACCAUAUUAAUACAUCAAAUUAUCAACCACCACAUGUAUGCCACGAUGGAUAAAAUGGUAGUGAACAACAGCAAAUAACAUUACUCUUUUCUUUUUCUUUUCUUUUUUUUAUUGCAUCAUCGAUUGCUAUAAAUAGAAUAAGACAAUGUGUCUCAAUAAAGUGCAGUAACUCGAUUAAAAUAAUGAAAGUAUAUUUAUAUUAUUGAAAUCAUAUUAAAGUAUGAGUGCCCUAUUAAACACAAUUGAAGUCCAAUUACCUUAUUAAACACUAAAUUAUAACUACCGCAAAUGAAGUUAACAAAAAACGACGCAAGUUAAAGAAAAAACAAGGUCAAGUUUUACAUAGCCCUUUUUGUAUCCAUUAUUUCAAAAACAAAAUAGUUCUGAAUAGUAAUAUUAGAAUUACGUGUAAAAUAUUUUAUUGUAUGAAUGUGUAACUAUAAAUAAUUCUAUAGCAAAAAGAAUUUUAUAACAAUGGAUGUGACAGCAAAGUGGAGUUCUUAAUUAAUAUUACCAAGCAUGGUUUAUGAAUAAUGCUAUAUGCAGUUGCUCACUACCACUAUCGCCCUACAUGGCGGUUAUUAAUUUGAUGGGAAGUGCUAAAUGUACAUAAUUAUCUACAUAAUGGUGUCCAUAAAUACACAUGGCACUGGAUCUAACCUCUAAUUAAAAUCUUACACAUCAACAACCGGAUGAUUGCCACAUCACAUUAUAAACACCAUUAUGUGCAAUAAUUAUGUACAAGUAGAAUUUUCCUAAUUUGAUACAUGAUGCAAUAAAAAACUACCAUAUUAAUACAUCAAAUUAUCAACCACCACAUGUAUGCCACGAUGGAUAAAAUGGUAGUGAACAACAGCAAAUAACAUUACUCUUUUCUUUUUCUUUUCUUUUUUUUAUUGCAUCAUCGAUUGCUAUAAAUAGAAUAAGACAAUGUGUCUCAAUAAAGUGCAGUAACUCGAUUAAAAUAAUGAAAGUAUAUUUAUAUUAUUGAAAUCAUAUUAAAGUAUGAGUGCCCUAUUAAACACAAUUGAAGUCCAAUUACCUUAUUAAACACUAAAUUAUAACUACCGCAAAUGAAGUUAACAAAAAACGACGCAAGUUAAAGAAAAAACAAGGUCAAGUUUUACAUAGCCCUUUUUGUAUCCAUUAUUUCAAAAACAAAAUAGUUCUGAAUAGUAAUAUUAGAAUUACGUGUAAAAUAUUUUAUUGUAUGAAUGUGUAACUAUAAAUAAUUCUAUAGCAAAAAGAAUUUUAUAACAAUGGAUGUGACAGCAAAGUGGAGUUCUUAAUUAAUAUUACCAAGCAUGGCAUACAGUUGUUGUCGCUACAAUAUAAUUUUAAUUUCUUUAUUCUUUAUCAAUAUUAUCUAGUAUACAAAACUAGACAUAGUCAAUUUUAAGAUCAUUUCUUAAAAAAAGCUAAGGAAAUUUUCAAAAUACACCAUUUAUGUAGGGUGCUAUCAUACUUCACAGAAUCACAUACCAUAUUUUACAUAUUUACAUUUUGGAAAUUGCUCAGGGGACUUACCAACCCCUCACUGUAGGGGUUGGUCCCACAUGAAAAAAACAAAAAAAAAAUACGCUAAGACCCACAACUAUGAGUAAUCUAACAAGGGUCUAUAAAACAAACCCUAUAAGUAUAGCAAGUCUCUUACAUUUCACUUGGUACAUUUUGCAUAAUAGUUACAAAAAUCACAUUUCGCUGAAAAUUUUUAAAUGUCAUUAUAAAUAGUGAAACACAUUAUUUUUUCAUACCAAUAUUAUUUUGUAUAUAACGAUUUAUAAAUUUAUUGUCUACUCUUCCUAAAUCUAAAGUCAAAUACCUAAAAUUAAUUUUAAUAAGUUAAGAAAAUACUUCUUUUGACUCAACAUUGUCAAAACAAAUAAAAAUUCUUAAGAAUGCAAUUGCAAUUUUAUUAAUAUCUUGUACACAAAUUUCUCUCUCUUUUUUUCAAGUUUCAUAAAAAAAGAAUAGUCUAUAAAUUUUGAGUUAAUUUAUAAAAUAAUGCUUACACCUCAAGGUGUACACACGAAAUUCACACCCCUCUCAUAUGGAAUGGGGCCCCACGCAUAUUUUAUUGUGAGUGUGUGUCCCUCCAUGUGAGGUGGUAUAUACCCGUGUGUACACAGUUAUUUACCCGUAGCAUUAUCCCAAUUUAUAUAGGGAUUAUAAAUUACUCCUAGACCAUCCCAAACAUGCCAUUCAAGUGUAUAACUA